rnacentral:lncRNA from 1 species
GCUCUGACCGGCCGACACGCUCACUUGCGGCCCUUGGGCACUUUGGGGACGCUGGGCUUGGCCGCCUUCUUCACCUUCUUGCCCCCGGCGGCCGCCGUCUUCUUGGCCUUGCCGCCUUUGUCCUUCUUGGCGCCAGCGCCCUUCUUGUGCGAGCGCUGCUCCGGCUUCUGGCCCCUGGCGGGCUUCUUGUCCGCGCGCCGGGAGCCGGCCGCGCCCGGGGCUGCCUUCUUCGCUUUGUGCGCGGUGGGGGCCGGGGCGGUGGCGGCCGCCGGGGCUCCGCGCCGCUCCCCGCCGCCCUCCAGCUUCUUGCGGUUGAGCUUGAAGGAACCGUUGGCGCCGGUGCCCUUCACCUGCAGAAGCGUGUCGUUCUGCACCAGCGCCUUGAUCGAGUACUUGAGAUGGGGACAACGCCGCCGAGCCGCCAGCCUUGGUCACCUUCUUGGCCAUUCCCUCGGCGGUCGUCACUGGCAGGGCCUCCUCGAGCUCCACGGACAUGGGAAAUGAUGGCGGGAACACAGCAAAGGAGACCAUGUCCUGGAGAGGGUCCCGGGCCCCACCCUCCCCGGGGGGGCUUGUGCAAGGCUGGCGGCCCGAUCUCUGCUGAUUCCAGUAUUGGGGGUGCAGAGAAGGCACAGGACAGUUUUUGUUGAAGCCGUUGCAGCCUCCACUUGGGGAAGCUGAGGCCAGGGGCACAGGACAACGUUGAGGGCCUGAGGCCUCCACCUUCUUGAAGAAGGACCAUGUGAAUUUCCUGACAGAGAACGGGGAUGGGUUUCUGAAAGCACCACCCAGCUGAGCCUGCCGAAACUGCACAGCUGUUUCCAGGCCAGGCUGGCUGCAUGGAGGACGUGAGAGGAACAGCCAGCUGUGUGUGCUGGGCCCACUGAUCAGGGUGCUCAGGACCAGGAGCCUUCUGAGGAUGUGCAGAGGGGACUCUGGGGAGAGGAACAUGGUGGCCACAGCUGGAGUGACCGCAGUGUACAGAGAUGGGAUGGGAGCAGGAAACCCAAAAGAGCCGGCCCUGGAACCAGGUGGAGGGGAGGCAGCCCGGCCAUGACCCAGAGCAGG